rnacentral:RNase_P_RNA from 1 species
UGAUUCCGGCAGUCGCCAUGUCGCGGCCUUGGCAACGACACGGAGGAAAGUCCGGGCUCCAUAGGGCAGGAGGGUCGCUAACGGCGACCGGCGGCAACGCCAGGGAAAGUGGCACAGAAAACAAACCGCCUGACUUGCGUGUCUGGUUGCAGGGAUCGCCUGGAAGUUCCCGCGGCUGGCGCAGACCGAAAGGUUUCAGGCAAGGGUGAAAUGGUGCGGUAAGAGCGCACCGCGUGACUGGAGACAGCCACGGCAGGCUAAACCCCCUCCGGAGCAAGGCCAAAUAGGGGCUGAGCUGCGGCCCGCAGCGUUGAAGCCCGGGUAGGCUGCUUGAGGUGCGUGGCAACACGUUACCCAGAGGAAUGACUGCCUGCCCCGGACAGACCGCAAGGCCUGUUCAGGGUAAACAGAACCCGGCUUACGGAUUCACAAU